rnacentral:lncRNA from 1 species
UCUUGGGCUAGGGCUUGAAUAAGGUCAGAAAUACACUCUCACAGAAGGAGAGAAUGAAGACUCGAGCUUGAGUUGAACUCCAAUCGCGACAAAGACGAAACUCAAAAGCUCUUUCUAAACUCAAAAACGAAUCUUCUCAUUAAGUUUAGGGUGUGAUGACACACCACAUAAGUCAGAGAUGGUGCUAGUAUUGAAACCGUAUAACAAAUUAAAGUUAUCAGAUUCAGAUCUUUCAACACCAUCGUUACGAAAGAGCAAAUGAUGGGGAUUUGGAAUUUUGGAUUUGCCAUAAGAAUUACCUAAAUCUAUAC